UACGAAGGGGGCUAGCGUUGUUCGGAUUUACUGGGCGUAAAGCGCGUGUAGGCGGGGCGUUAAGUUGGGGGUGAAAUCCCGAGGCUCAAACUCGGAACUGCCUUCAAAACUGGCGACCUGGACCCAAGUAGAGGCAAGUGGAAUUGCGAGUGUAGAGGUGAAAUUCGUAGAUAUUCGCAGGAACACCAGUGGCGAAGGCGACUUGCUGGACUUGUGGUGACGCUGAGACGCGAAAGCGUGGGGAGCAAACAGG
rnacentral:rRNA from 1 species